rnacentral:rRNA from 1 species
UUGCAUGGACCCGCUNUGAUACAGUGUGCAGUUGAACGGGAUGAGCUCAAAUUUAAAAUCUGGCGUCUUUCAGGCGUCCGAGUUGUAAUCUAUAGAGGCGUUUUCCGCGCCGGACCGCGUCCAAGUCUCUUGGAAUAGAGUAUCAAAGAGGGUGACAAUCCCGUACUUGACGCGACAACCGGUGCUCUGUGAUACGUUCUCAAUGAGUCGAGUUGUUUGGGAAUGCAGCUCUAAAUGGGUGGUAAAUUCCAUCUAAGGCUAAAUAUUGGCGAGAGACCGAUAGCGAACAAGUACCGUGAGGGAAAGAUGAAAAGCACUUUGGAAAGAGAGUUAAACAGCACGUGAAAUUGUAAAAGGGAAACGAUUGAAGUCAGUCGUGUGAAAGGUAUUCAGCCGUCUCUGGCGGUGUAUUUGCCUUUCACGGGUCAACAUCAGUUUGAUCCGGUAGAAAAAGGCGGGAGGAAGGUGGCACCCUCGGGUGUGUAUAGCCUCCUGUCAUAUGUGCCGGACCAGACUGAGGAACGCAGCUUGCCGCAAGGCCGGGGUUCGCCCACGUACAAGCUUAGGAUGUUGACUAUAAUGGCUUUAAACGACCCGUCUUGAANNGGGGAAAAUU